rnacentral:rRNA from 1 species
GAUGAACGCUGGCGGCGUGCCUAAUACAUGCAAGUCGAGCGAAUGGAUUAAGAGCUUGCUCCUAUGAAGUUAGCGGCGGACGGGUGAGUAACACGUGGGUAACCUGCCCAUAAGACUGGGAUAACUCCGGGAAACCGGGGCUAAUACCGGAUAACAUUUUGAACCGCAUGGUUCGAAAUUGAGAGGCGGCUUCGGCUGUCACUUAUGGAUGGACCCGCGUCGAAUUAGCUAGUUGGUGAGGUAACGGCUCACCAAGGCAACGAUGCGUAGCCGACCUGAGAGGGUGAUCGGCACACUGAGACUGAGACACGGCCCAGACUCCUACGGGAGGCAGCAGUAGGGAAUCUUCCGCAAUGGACGAAAGUCUGACGGAGCAACGCCGCGUGAGUGAUGAAGGCUUUCGGGUCGUAAAACUCUGUUGUUAGGGAAGAACAAGUGCUAGUUGAAUAAGCUGGCACCUUGACGGUACCUAACCAGAAAGCCACGGCUAACUACGUGCCAGCCGCCGCCGUAA